CGAAACAGAGGAAGAGAAGAAGGAAAGGGAAAAAAGAAAAGAAAGAGAAGGAGUGCUACAUGUUGCUGCUACGACUGCUAUUCCUACAGCUAAAGCUGCUGCUGCUGAUGCAUGCAAGCAUCCUUUGCUCUCCACAAUUAGAAGGUGCUACCAUGGUCUUACUCCAGCUGAAAAUUGAAGUGAAGGAUGGCUGAUCGAGCUACAUGCAUAACUCAAGAAGCACAAGAAAGGUAUUGAAGUUGAAGCAGAGAUGGUCAGAUGAUUUGUUGGAGAUGAAGACACUUAUAGGGAGUGCUUGUAGAUAGUGACUUAAUUGUACAUUGUAUAUAAUAUUGUAAUUAAGGGUAAGAUGUAAUAUGGACUUUGUUGUAACUUGUGGAAUCAAUUAGUGGGUCUGUAAUAUUGUAUAAGCAUCAUUGUAGCUAAUCAUCACGCGUAUCUUAUGAUUUUUAUGAAUUCUUAUGUACACUCUGA